GAUGAACGCUGGCGGCGUGCCUAAUACAUGCAAGUCGAGCGAACAGAUGAGGAGCUUGCUCCUCUGACGUUAGCGGCGGACGGGUGAGUAACACGUGGAUAACCUACCUAUAAGACUGGGAUAACUUCGGGAAACCGGAGCUAAUACCGGAUAAUAUAUUGAACCGCAUGGUUCAAUAGAGAAAGACGGUUUUGCUGUCACUUAUAGAUGGAUCCGCGCCGCAUUAGCUAGUUGGUAAGGUAACGGCUUACCAAGGCAACGAUGCGUAGCCGACCUGAGAGGGUGAUCGGCCACACUGGAACUGAGACACGGUCCAGACUCCUACGGGAGGCAGCAGUAGGGAAUCUUCCGCAAUGGGCGAAAGCCUGACGGAGCAACGCCGCGUGAGUGAUGAAGGUCUUCGGAUCGUAAAACUCUGUUAUUAGGGAAGAACAAAUGUGUAAGUAACUAUGCACGUCUUGACGGUACCUAAUCAGAAAGCCACGGCUAACUACGU
rnacentral:rRNA from 1 species